GAAGAUAGUGGGCGCUUGCCUCCACCGUCAAGGAGUGUGCCAGCUGGGAGAUUUGAGCAUGAGAGGCUGCAUCACCAAGAGCAUUUGCCUGUGGAUAAAAUACCCAUUACAGAAUCCCAUGGUGGGGGAACAGGAAGGUUUGAGCAUGAAAGGCUGCAUCAUCGAGAGAAUUUGCAUGUGGAUAAGAUACCCAUUACAGAAUUCCACGGUGGAGGAACAGGGAGAUUUGAGCAUGAAAGGCUGCAUCACCGAGAGCAUUUGCCUGUGGAUAGGAAACCCGUUACAGAAUCCCACGGUGAAGGAACAGGGAUAUUUGAGCAUGAAAGACUGCAUCACCGAGAGCAUUUGCCUGUGGAUAGGAAACCCAUCACAGAAUCCCAC
rnacentral:lncRNA from 1 species